UUUCUUCAUUAGUACGUCAUGUUGGUGACUGAAGCCUGUUAUGAUGACUUCAACACAUUUCUUCUGACAGGUUGGUAGAAGAAAUGCUGUCCAGAAUGUUUCUAUAAGCUGACUAAUUUCUAUAAUGCCUAAUGUCUGAGUUGUGUUCAUGGUAAUUAUUUCUGACAUUUUUAUGCUUUAUGUUGUAGGUGGUGAAAAAUGCUCUCCAGGGUAAACCGGGUGGACAAAGUAUUUUGAAUGACUGUGAUGGUGACACACACACACACAGGUGGGUCUGGUUAGUUUUGCUCACACUUCUCUUUAAAAUGUUUAUUUAUUAUCCUAAUGUGUCUGCUAUUUAUCCUGUUGUUCCUCCAGGCUGGGAAAACCAGGCAUUCUUCUGUUGGUUCAUGUGCUUCAUCCUACAUCCAAAGGCCACAAGAAGAAUCCAAAACAGCUCAUGUCAAACUGUGGACCAUGUUUUCAGAUAUGUGCAGAUGCAAGCCAGUGUUGAAGCCUUCCUCAUUGCCGUGGAACCAGGACAGCCCUUCCUAAAGCAUGUUGGUGAAAACAAGAGCAGCACCAAAGACACUUCACCAUCAGUAAUCACAAGAUCAUCCAAGUCGCUACAUUGGGAUUAACCCAGAAAGGGGCACAAAAGCCAAUCAUGGGAAGAUGGUAUCCAAAAAGACA